ACCAUAUGCUGGAAUUAUAUUUUUCCUGAUCCCAAAAAAACACAUUGCAAAAUCAAUUCAAAAUGUUAUCUGAAAAAAUAAAGACAUUGUCGUGAAUGCAGGAUAUUCGAAAAUUGCAGUACUAUUCCCAAAACGGGUGUACUACGACAUAAUUAUUAAUAAAGUCAAUUAAAACUUAAAAUUUUAAAAUAUAAAAACGAAGCGUCGAUCAUUGUGCACCCAUUUUGCAAGAAUUCUUAUUAUGGCCCCCCAUCCUCUUACACUUGCCACACCUGAUGCUGCGGGGUACCAAUUCACCUCAAUGCAAUUUUGAAAUCGCUACUGAUCUGCCGGAAUUGAUAACAUAUGUAUACACCUUUAAAGACAUAACAAUCGAUAGCAGUCGAUAAGUAGCGAUAAAAACCAUAUGUAUACACCUUAAAAGUUUAUUUACAUAAUCGAUCACAUAAAAACCACUCUGCAAUUUUGAAAAUCGCUACUGAUCAGCAAGAAUGGGUAACAUGUGUAUACACCUUAAAAGACAUAACAAUCGAUAACAAUCGAUUAAAAACAUAUGUAUACACCUUUGAAGAUUAUUUACAGAAUCGAACAACCCAGAAAAAAUUUAAUAACAUGUGUAUACACCUUAAAAGACAUAACAAUCGAUAACAAUUGAUUAAAAACAUAUGUAUACACCUUAAAAGAUUAUUUACAGAAUCGAACAACCCAGAAAAAAUUUAAACUUACAUAAAUUGCGAAAAGCCACGAAAACAGAUCUGUAUAAUUUGUUCCUUCUUUUCCGAUUUAUGCGAUCAGAUCACAAAUUCUUGGGGUUAAAAAAUAACCAGCACGUUGAAGCGGUGCUCUAUA
rnacentral:lncRNA from 1 species